rnacentral:rRNA from 1 species
AACGAACGCUGGCGGCAGGCCUAACACAUGCAAGUCGAGCGAACCCUUCGGGGUUAGCGGCGGACGGGUUAGUAACGCGUGGGAAUAUACCCUUUGGUACGGAAUAGCCUCGGGAAACUGAGAGUAAUACCGUAUGUGCCCUUCGGGGGAAAGAUUUAUCGCCAAAGGAUUAGCCCGCGUUGGAUUAGAUAGUUGGUGGGGUAAUGGCCUACCAAGUCUACGAUCCAUAGCUGGUUUGAGAGGAUGAUCAGCAACACUGGGACUGAGACACGGCCCAGACUCCUACGGGAGGCAGCAGUGGGGAAUCUUAGACAAUGGGCGCAAGCCUGAUCUAGCCAUGCCGCGUGGACGAUGAAGGCCUUUAGGGUUGUAAAGUCCUUUCAGAUGGGAAGAUAAUGACAGUACCUGGAGAAUAAGCUCCGGCUAACUCCGUGCCAGCAGCCGCGGUAAAGUACAGUGU